rnacentral:rRNA from 1 species
UACGGAGGGUGCGAGCGUUGUCCGGAAUCACUGGGCGUAAAGGGCGCGUAGGCGGCCUGAUAAGUAGGGGGUGAAAUCCUGCGGCUUAACCGCAGGGCUGCCUUCUAAACUGUCAGGCUAGAGCACAGUAGAGGCAGGUGGAAUUCCCGGUGUAGCGGUGGAAUGCGUAGAUAUUGGGAAGAACACCGGUGGCGAAGGCGGCGCUCUGGACCGAGACUGACGCUGAGGCGCGAAGGCGUGGGGAGCAAACAGG